UGGCGUACGGGUGAGUAACGCGUGGGUAAUCUACCUCUGAAUCGGGGAUAACCCGCCGAAAGGCGAGCUAAUACCGGAUAAUAUCUAUAAAACCUCGGUUUUAAAGAUCAAAGGUGGUCUCUACAUGUAAGCUACUGUUUGGAGAUGAGCCCGCGUACCAUUAGCUUGUUGGUAGGGUAAUGGCCUACCAAGGCUUCGAUGGUUAGCUGGUCUGAGAGGAUGAUCAGCCACACUGGAACUGACACACGGUCCAGACUCCUACGGGAGGCAGCAGUGAGGAAUUUUGCGCAAUGGGGGAAACCCUGACGCAGCAACGCCGCGUGAGUGAUGAAGGCUUUCGGGUCGUAAAGCUCUGUCAAGUGGGAAGAAUAUGCUUGAUGUUAAUACCAUCUUGCACUGACGGUACCACUGAAGGAAGCACCGGCUAACUCCGUGCCAGCAGCCGCGGUAAUACGGGGGGUGCAAGCGUUAUUCGGAAUUAUUGGGCGUAAAGGGCGCGUAGGCGGUCUCUUAAGUCAGAUGUGAAAGCCCGGGGCUUAACCCCGGAAGUGCAUUUGAAACUAAGGGACUUGAGUAUGGGAGAGGGAAGUGGAAUUCCUGGUGUAGAGGUGAAAUUCGUAGAUAUCAGGAGGAAC
rnacentral:rRNA from 1 species